GGUUGGACGAUAUUUUAUCGUUUUCAAGUAACUUGGCUUCUAGGGUGGGAAGUC
rnacentral:ncRNA from 2 species